rnacentral:rRNA from 2 species
GACCUCAAAUCAGGUAAGAACACCCGCUGAACUUAAGCAUAUCAAUAAGCGGAGGAAAAGAAAACAACAAUGAUUCCCCUAGUAACUGCGAGUGAAGAGGGAUAAGCUCAAAUUUUAAAUCUGAUGGGUUCUACUUAUCAGAAUUGUAAUUUGAAGAAACGUUUUCUGAGUCUUGUUAACCUAAAUCUUUUGGAACAAGGUAUCAUGGAGGGUGACAAUCUUGUUCAUGGUUUUCAUCAAGAUACGUUACGAUACGUUUUCUAAGAGUUGAGUUGUUUGUGAUUGCAUCUCAAAAUGGGAGGUAAAUUUCUCCUAAGGCUAAAUAUUGGCGAGAGACCGAUAGCGAACAAGUACCGUGAGGGAAAGAUGUAAAGAACUUUGAAAAGAGAGUUUAACAGUACGUGAAAUUUUUGAAAGGGAAACGAUUGAAG